GCGGAUGUGUUGAGACUGCACGAGAAUGACUUUAUUUUGGUCUGUAAUGAGCUUGCUCUCUUUUCUAAAACUUAUCUCUGGGCGGUGAACAGAAGACCGCGCGCUCCCGUUAAGCCCUUCGUGCCCCGGGGAAGCCAUGCUUGAAAUCUGAAUGGGACGUCACAAAAGAGAAACAGCAGGCAGUAUAAACCCAGGUGGACAACUCUGAGGACGUUUGGCAGCACAAUAUGAAGAUUGCUGUUGUUUGUGCUUCCUACGCUGAAGAUCCUGUAGAUGUCUCUCUUAUUCUUGACGGCAAGGAGGUUGUGACUGGAUGUGGAAAUACUGCAAAGCCAUGUACACUGCUAAUGGGUCUGAUAUAUUCCCUCAAUCUUGCUUAUCCUCCAACACCGUGUUACACUUUUGAAGUGUUCCAGAAGCUUUUCUUAGAUUUAGACGCAAUAAAGCUAUCCCCCAAAGUACAAACUCUGAAAAUGAAGUUGCUGUCCAAAACUUAAAAGAUGACAUUUUAUUCAGCUUUAUUCAGCUUGGUAUGCCAUUGCCAUUAUAGCAGUUUAUGCUAUAAAGUUGUAUUGUUAUUGUGUAGCUCUUGCACAUGCUUCAAAGUCAUUAAUUGUUCAUUAAUGUUAAUACAGUUGCAAAACCUCUGCAGCCAUUUCUCAGAGCUGUGCCUUCAGAAAGGACUUUAAGUUUAUAAUAGUAUGACAACAAGAAUUGCUGAUUUGUUGUUAAUUUUUUUUUUCCAAGUGUAAAACCUGGACAAAAAAGGCUGUCAAUAAUACAAAGUUGUUAAAUAUUGUCAUUUGUAUGUUAUUGAUUUUUCAUAUUUUCUGUAUACACUUUAACAAAACUAGUAGUUAUUACUCAAAUGUAGUGCUUAAAAAUUAUUUUGUAAUAAGAAUAAAUAUAGUGAUACAACGAAUAAAAUAUAAAUAACAUUUAUUAAAUUAAUUCAUUAUUGUCAGUGAUCAGCACACAUAAAAUUUACUCAGUAUUUCUAUGACACACGUAGAAAUACUAAAAAAAAUCACAUAAACCUUAAUUCAUUAUUUCAUAUAACC
ensembl:lncRNA